rnacentral:lncRNA from 1 species
CCAAAAAAUAAGAACUAAGAUACACAAUGCCUCCCACAAUGACCACCAGUGAAGAACUCAGCAAAAUGUUUUUGUUCCGGUACCGUAUCCCUUAAAAAAAUCCACAGUUAUAAAAGAAAUAGCCUCUAAGACUGGAAGAAAAAUAGCUCCCAAACGAAUGCCAACUCUUUUUAAUGCACUAUGUAACGAGAAAGAUGUAAGAAAAGAUACAGAAAAAUCCGGUGUAUAUAGAAUACCCCUUAAAUAUCAACCACAAGGCACAGAAGCUGCCUACAUUAGAAUCACUAAGAAAACGUUGUGCCAAAGAAUAUACGAUCAUAAGAAUGACAUUAAAAAGGGCAGUCACAACGGCCCUGGCAGAGCAAGCUUACACUAAUAACGUUUUAAUAGAUUGGGAUAAUGCCAAGAUAAUAAGACCGAUUGUCAAACCCACACAAGCUAUAACGCAAGAAAUUAUAGAGAUUGUCUUCGUGCCUCCUAGCUAUAAUCUCAUAAAUCAUAGGCCUACAGCUGACCUACCCAAAGCCUGGACGUAUAUAUUAAAAAACUCUAAAAAGACUUAAGUAACCUUCUGAAAUGCUUAAUAUUAUAAAACUAUUCCAUC